CAGCAGCAAAAGCCCCUUCAGCGGAGCAUCCCUCCUCAACCAGUCCACGCCCAGCCACAAAGUGGGCCAGGCCUCUGGCACCUGGAGAUACACAGCCUUCCUGGGCACCCAUUUUUCCAGCCAUGAAAUGCAGGUGCAGUCACGCCUGCUCCCGGGCUCUGCCUCUCUGUCUGCAACCCACUCUCCCCAACCAACGCUGAUCUUCUUCCUGGAUCCGGGAGCUGCUGCCACCUACAGGCCUCGUGUGCAAAGACACACACGGUGUAAUUACAGCAAACAUGCAUUGGCGGCGAGCAGCGAUCAUGAGGCAACUUUUGAAGGAUCUCAGAUGCGCUUGGCGGCGGGUCCUGGAGAGCAGCGUGAGGAACCGCAGCCCCACUUGACCUGUGCAGGCCCCCAAAACAAGGGAUUUUCAGAAGUCAUGAGUGGUGUGUUGGCACGGCAUCCAUGCCAUGUCGUUCAUCAGCUAUUUCCUUGAUAGCGGGUUGCGUUUUACCACCAAGACGACCGACUGACUCAUGAGCCGGUUACUUAAAUAAAUAAAUACUUGAGGCCGGCUGUGCCCGCCGAGCAAAACAUGUCAGGCUGCAGACAAAAUGGGCCCCUGCUGCUUUCCCGGGUGGUUUCAUUUUUUUCCUCUUUUUGUCUUCUUGUUUGAAAACUUUGAAAGUGAAACCACACACCUCCCCUCGCGAGCUGCUCUGUUCCCAGGGCAGCCGGAGGAGAUGGGUGGGGCCGAGGUUUCACUGCAGCAUCAGCAUCACCCCUAGGCAGGUCCCUGGGUCCAUCCACCGGGCUGGAACCCAGGCCCCGCUGUGCCCGGCUCUGAGCAAGGCCCAGCGCAGGGAGGUGGCCGAAACCUGACGUUAGGUGACCACAGCACGCGGCCCGGAACCCACUCAGGAGUGGCCAGCUUCAUCCUCUCAACAGAUUUAGGAGGAAUAGAGCGAUAUCCUCGAUUUAUAGGUGAGGAAAUAAAGGCUUCUCAGUUUAAGAUUCGUGCUCUGGUCCCAUAUGU